CGGGGACUCUGGGGGCGCGGAGGAGAUCGGGUCUGCCCUACUUCUUCCCCGGAGGAGUCUUUAUCCAGCUAAAAGAUUAGUGUGACUGCAGUAUCACAGAGGGAGCAGCAGCAAGACAGACAAUGGACCCUAAUGAAAUGCCUUGGUCAGUGAUGACUAAAGGACACCCAGGGCUGUUAAGCAUCCAAUGAUGAACACUUCAAUAGCAUCAGGAGGAACAAAGCUGGAACAUGUUGUAUGCAGAAUCUCCCAGGAAGGGCUAUUAUCCCAUGCUGAAUUUCCCACAGCUGAUAAUGCGCAACCAGUAACUUUAUUAGUUCUGAAUUGAACACUAAUGGAGGAAGGCCUAAAAAACCACCAAAGCUAUUUUUUAUCAGUUUGGAUGGAAAUCACUUUCUUCUUCUUCUAAUGCCUGGGAGUUCUUGCCUUAAGUUCUAAAGAGAGAUACAUGAUGGUGGUACCACUGUGAGUGCCAUCCAGCUCCAAAAUCUCCUGGGACAGGGUUAUAACAUGGGCUGCAAGGAGUGGAGAUGAUGACUUGGUGUUAGAGGAGGGAUGUCGUCCUGGGGCAAUGUGGGGUGAAGCAUGAACCCAUAGUCCCCAUGUUCUUAACAUCCAGGAGUCCCCUGACCUCAUGGUGUUUUGCAUUGGAGAAUCAGUGUUAUGUCACCAAAACCAGAUAAGUGUCACUGAUGGGGGAGUGCAUUUGCAGAACCUUUCUGUAAAUUCCACAUGUCCUCAAAUUUGCCACAGGCCAUCAAGCUUCAAGGGCAGUGGCCUGAGGUCCCACCUAGGUCAGCAAACUGGUCAGGAAACUCCCCUGUCAGACCAUUCAGAUCCUGCACUGGGGGGUCCCACUGGCACUGCCCCAGACUGGCACUGCUAGGAACAAAGCCCCUUUGCAGCGGUGGCUCCAGUGACCCCACAGACCCUGUGACUGCCCGCACACCCCACACUUCCCCAGUCAGACCAGCUCCUCUCACUGGUUCAGACCCGUGUUCCCCAUAGCACAGUCCCAGACUCCGGUUCCUUUGUGGUGCAGCGACACAGAACAGCUUGAGCUGGUGCCCCUGGGGAGGGACUCUGGACAAAGCCGCCCUGAGCUGUGCCCCCUCCCAGUCUGUGCCCAUCCUGAUGCUGAUGUUUAGCCUGGCUCCUGUUCCUGGUUCUUGCAGAGUCCCAGAGUGACUGGCCACCCCUCAUCUGGCUCCCUAGGGCCCCAACCCCUUGGUCAGGCGAAUGGUCAGUGCCACGUCCCAGCCCCUUGCUGGGGACUCUGGCCAUUCCUCCCACUCUGAGCACAACCUGCAGCUUGUGCUGCAGCUCCCUGAGCUGGGCACUGGAGCAUUCCAAACAGCCCUCCCUUUGUUUUAGUGGAGCACACCUGCUAAUAUAUUGAAAGGAAAAAGAAAAGUACUUUCAAGACAUUUGAAUACUGCCUUUAUAUACAACAUUAUCACAAGUAAAAAACAUAACAGAAUUAAGGCCAACAGAGUGAAGUACAACAUGGAUUCCUUUGUACAAAUACUUAAAAGAAUAGCAACACAAAAUCACAAAGGAUUCUCAGAAGUCAGUUAUUUAUCAACCAGUUGAUCACAGAAUCACAGAAUCAGUGAGGCUGAAAAAAGCUUCUGAGACCACCAAGUCCAGCCUAUGAUCAGGCACCACCUUGUCCACUAGACCAGAGCACUGAAUGCCACAUCCAGUCUUUUCUUAAACACCUUCAGGAACAGCAACUCCAAAACCUCCCUGGACAGACCAUUCCAGUGUCUAACUGCCUUUUCUGUGAAGAAAUUCUUCCUAAUGUCCAACAUAAACCUCCCCUGGUGCAGCUUGAGACUAUGUCCUCUUGUCCUGUUGCUGGCUGCCAGGGAGAAAAGCCUGACUCUCACCUGGUUCCACCCUCUUGACAGGAAGUGGUAGAGAGUGAGAGAAUCCCCUCUGAGCCUCCUCUUCUCCAGGCUGAGCCCCUCCAGCUCCCUCAGCUGCUCCUUAUCAGACACCUGCUCCAGAUCCUUCACCAGCUUUGUUGCUCUUCUCUGGACUCCGUCAGCACCAAAAUUCCUUCCUGAAUUGAGUGGUCCAGAAGUGCAUACAGGACUCAAAGUCUUGCCUCACCAGUGCUAAGUUCAGGAGAGGAAUCACUUCCCUGGUUCUGCUGGCCACACUAUGGCUAGUACAGGCCAGGUGCCACUGCCCUUCUUGGCCUAAACACUCCUGGGCUCGUGUUCAGCUGCUGUUGACAGCAUCCCCAGGCCCUUCUCUGCUGGGAGCUUUCCAGCCACUCUACCCCAAACUUGCAUCACUGCAGGGGAUUAUUGUGACGAGAGUGUAGGACCUGGUAAUUGGUGUUUUUGAGCCUCAUGCUGUUGGUCUUGGCCCAUUGAUCCAGCCUGUGCAGAUCCCUCUGCAGGGUCUUCCUACCCUCCAGUAGAUCAACACUCCCACCCAUCUUGGUGUCAUCCGUGAAUUUACUCUGGGUGGACUCAGUCCCCUUAUCCAGGUCAUCAAUAAAGACACUGAGUAGGACUGGGCCCAACAUUGAUCACUGGUCACCACUAGUGAAAAUAAUGGAACAGAUCAUCUACUGGUUGUUUGAUGUGAGAAUAGCAUAUCCAAUUUUUCUUAUGUAUAACUGUAACAGCAAAAUAGGAACACAGUAAAACAGCAUUCUUAUCUAGGUCCUAAUUUGGAUUUUCUACAGAAUACCUUAUUUAAAAUUCGAUCUCCAGGCUGUAUAUCAUGUACCUGUAUUUCAGGGAGUUGAGUUGAUAACACUGAGCAUACUUUGUUCUUUACACCCUUUCUGCAUGUAUAUGACACACUGGGUCUAUCUCCAUCCAAUAGGCUGGCCAUAGCUGGGAUAUAAAAUCCUGGCAUAACUAAGUGCCUUUCAAAGAGAAUUUCUGCUGCUGUCAGCCCUACAGCUUAUACCAGAGUAUUCUGGAUAUCCCACAGAGCCAAAUUUAAAGCUUCUGGCCAUUUCAGAUUAGUGUACACACAUAUUUUUAUUAUCUUUUCUUUUAAUGUUCUAUUAAUUCUCUCUACUUCUCCUGAAGACUCUGAGUGAUGUGGUAUAUGUAAUUCCCUGUCUCUCCCUAAGGACUUGUACAGCUGGUGGAUUAUAUUUGCUGUAAAAUGAGCACCUCUGUCUGUUUCAAUAAGCUCUGGAACCCUGAGUAUCAGGUAUAACUUCCUUUAGCCAGGCAUUUACUACUCCUCCUGUGUCAGCCCUUCAUGUUGGAAAGGCUCCUGCCCAGUCUGGCUGCUAUUCAACCAUCACCAACAAACUCUUGCCCCCAGUUGCAGGUGAAGUGCCCAUAGUCUCUGUGCAGUCACUGGAAAGGGAAGCAGGCCCAUGGUAACCCUCCUACCUCUGAGCUUGGUCUGUCACAUGAGACCUUUGGGCAAGCUGGGCAGCUAUUAGUAAUUUAUUUUGCAGCAGCCUAAAUUCCUGGAGCUGCCCACGCUUUUUGUCCCUCCAUAGGCUUUACCCAAAACCAUCUCACCACAGUUACUACACAUUUCUUUGGCAGACCAGUUUUCCUUCAGCUGACCAUAUUCCAUCAUAAUUUUGAGUUGCCUCAUGCUUUUCCCAUCCUAUCUUUCCUUCUAUUGAGACAUACUUCUCAUACAUAGUUUGAAAUUCUGUCAAAUUGGGCCUUUCGCUCUGGACAACCGUUAGAGCCACAGUGGUACAUCAUCCCAGAGGCUGCCUGGCUGUGCCUUCACAGCUGCAUCAGCUGGGUCAUUGCCUCUGCCAACCCCUGUAAUGCCUCUAGCGUGGGCUGGACAAGGAACUACAGCAGUUUCUGCAGGGAACUGUACUGCUUCUACCAAACUGUGUAUUUCCUCUCUAUUGGAUGCUCUCUGUCCUGCUGAUGUUAAAAAUCUCUGCUCUUUCCAUAACAUUCCUGCUGCAUGAAAAACACCAAAAACAUAUCAAGUAUUAAAUGUACAGCUGUUAACUCAUUUCCCUCUUCUCAGAUGUGCAGCAUGAGCCAAGGCUGCUCCCUGUGUGCUCCUCCUUGCUGGGAGCAGUUCUGCUUCUGUCACCUGCCCCUGGCAACCCCACGGAUCAUCUACCCAGACAAUCAAUGUCCUUGCAGGUAGCAGGAUGAGCUCAGAACUAGAUCUGGGUUAUGUGAGGGAGCAUCAGUCAAUGGAAGUCUUCAUCCCUUGCUCAGACUGGCAAUAUGUUUCUACAUGGUCAGGUAAAGGCAUUCGGCUCACUGGAUUUGAGAUGUUGCAUCUUUUUAAGAGUGCAGUUAGGAGGAUUUGUUGUUGUGAUAGAGCUGGGGUGUGAUACUGUUCCAACAGCAUCUCUACCUCAUGUGGGACAUGGACAGUUGCAGGAUGUCCCAGGGUAAGGGAGUGGCUUUUCUCCAAUGCUGCUGCUGCUGCCACUGAUUUAUAACAGGUGCUCUCACUGCAACUGGAUCCAGAUGAACUAGGAGUGUGUGACUCUGGUGGGGUCCCAUGCUACUACUCCAGUGGCCAUUUCUUUAUGCCCACACACACACAUAUAUAUGUACAUAUAACUUUUUUUUCAAUAGCAAAAAUCUUUUCUGUUCCUUUUCACUGAAGGGGCAGUACAAAGCAUUAGGCAAGAAAACAAGCUUCCUGCUCAGGCAGGGCUUUUUCCCCAUUGUCCUGGAAGAAAAUGAAAGUUUCCCAAGUUAAUAGAAAUAAUAUUAGUGUAAGAAGGUUUCCUGCUGCUUUGCACAUGCCACUAGUUCCAGCCACAGGUG